rnacentral:rRNA from 1 species
AGUGAACGCUGGCGGUAGGCCUAACACAUGCAAGUCGAACGGCAGCACAGUAAGAGCUUGCCCUUACGGGUGGCGAGUGGCGGACGGGUGAGGAAUACAUCGGAAUCUACUUUUUCGUGGGGGAUAACGUAGGGAAACUUACGCUAAUACCGCAUACGACCUACGGGUGAAAGCAGGAGAUAUUCGGACCUUGCGCGACUGAAUGAGCCGAUGUCGGAUUAGCUAGUUGGCGGGGUAAAGGCCCACCAAGGCGACGAUCCGUAGCUGGUCUGAGAGGAUGAUCAGCCACACUGGAACUGAGACACGGUCCAGACUCCUACGGGAGGCAGCAGUGGGGAAUAUUGGACAAAGGGCGCAAGCCUGAUCCAGCCAUACCGCGUGGGUGAAGAAGGCCUUCGGGUUGUAAAGCCCUUUUGUUGGGAAAGAAAAGCAGCAGGUUAAUACCCCGCUGUUCUGACGGUACCCAAAGAGUAAGCACCGGCUAACUUCGUG